CACACGACUCUCGGCAACGGAUAUCUCGGCUCUCGCAUCGAUGAAGAACGUAGCAAAAUGCGAUACCUGGUGUGAAUUGCAGAAUCCCGCGAACCAUCGAGUUUUUGAACGCAAGUUGCGCCCGAGGCAACUCAGCCGAGGGCACUCCUGCCUGGGCGUCACGC
rnacentral:rRNA from 1 species